rnacentral:rRNA from 1 species
GAUGAACGCUGGCGGCGUGCCUAAUACAUGCAAGUCGAGCGAACGGACGAGAAGCUUGCUUUUCUGAUGUUAGCGGCGGACGGGUGAGUAACACGUGGAUAACCUACCUAUAAGACUGGGAUAACUUCGGGAAGCCGGAGCUAAUACCGGAUAAUAUUUUGAACCGCAUGGUUCAAAAGUGAAAGACGGUCUUGCUGUCACUUAUAGAUGGAUCCGCGCUGCAUUAGCUAGUUGGUAAGGUAACGGCUUACCAAGGCAACGAUGCAUAGCCGACCUGAGAGGGUGAUCGGCCACACUGGAACUGAGACACGGUCCAGACUCCUACGGGAGGCAGCAGUAGGGAAUCUUCCGCAAUGGGCGAAAGCCUGACGGAGCAACGCCGCGUGAGUGAUGAAGGUCUUCGGAUCGUAAAACUCUGUUAUUAGGGAAGAACAUAUGUGUAAGUAACUGUGCACAUCUUGACGGUACCUAAUCAGAAAGCCACGGCUAACUACGU